rnacentral:rRNA from 1 species
ACUCUUACGGGAGGCAGCAGUGGGGAAUCUUGCACAAUGGGGGAAACCCUGAUGCAGCGACGCCGCGUGAGUGAUGAAGCCCUUCGGGGUGUAAAGCUCUUUCGGCAGGGACGAUAAUGACGGUACCUGCGGAAGAAGCUGCGGCUAACUACGUGCCAGCAGCCGCGGUAAUACGUAGGCAGCAAGCGUUGUUCGGAAUUACUGGGCGUAAAGAGUGUGUAGGUGGUGUCGUAAGUUUGGCGUGAAAUCUCCCGGCUUAACUGGGAGGGUGCGCCGAAGACUGCGAUGCUUGAGGGUGGGAGAGGUAAGCGGAAUUCCUGGUGUAGCGGUGAAAUGCGUAGAUAUCAGGAGGAACACCUGCGGUGUAGACGGCUUACUGGACCACACCUGACACUGAGACACGAAAGCGUGGGUAGCAAACAGGAUUAGAUACCCUGGUAGUCCACGCCCUAAACGAUGCAUACUUGGUGUGAGCCAUUCACUUGGUUCGUGCCGGAGCUAACGCGUUAAGUAUGCCGCC